GAUCCUGGCUCAGGACGAACGCUGGCGGCGUGCUUAACACAUGCAAGUCGAACGGAGAACUUAUUUCGGUAAGUUCUUAGCGGCGAACGGGUGAGUAACGCGUGGGCAACCUGCCCUCCAGUUGGGGACAACAUUCCGAAAGGGAUGCUAAUACCGAAUGUGCUCCCUCCUCCGCAUGGAGGAGGGAGGAAAGAUGGCCUCUGCUUGCAAGCUAUCGCUGGAAGAUGGGCCCGCGUCUGAUUAG
rnacentral:rRNA from 1 species